rnacentral:lncRNA from 12 species
UGUGUUCUAGAUGGUAAGAGUGUUUCAAGGCAAAAUAACUCAAUAUCACAGCAUACACCAUCCCAGAAGACAUGCACAUAAUCACACAACAAACAAACCUGUGCCUCAGUCUUCAAAAGAAUUCCAUGAAUUGAUCAGCAUUGAAUAAUGGAGCAGAAGGAGAAAGAGAUAAAGCCUGUUGUCUUAGUCAAUGGUGCAAUAGUCUGUGUUGAGGAACAAUUCAGACAGUCUUCUGACUAAAUACAAGGGUGCUGCUUUCACCCCCUGAGUCUGAUGCAGACCUCAGAAAUCAUACCUUUGAGAACUACAUGCUAGCUGAGCAUUGGUGAAAGAUAACCUGUGAAUCAAUGCAGUGUCCCACUUUACACGGUGUCUGAAAACCUGACGAGAGAAUACAGCUGGUUGUCGGAUUCGGAAAAUUAAAAAUAUCACAUAAAGAGCAUUGUAAACAAGAGCCAGCAACCACACAGCAUGUACAGAGGAUGACUUCAGCUGGAAAUUUCACGGGGAUUUCAAACAACGGUCAACCAACGCUGUCAGCAGUUCACCAAAAAAAAAGUUACCGGUCACUUCUGCAUCGCCUUGACAUGGCAAGACUGGAAGGUUCUCGGGGGUCCCGACCCAUGACCCUUUACCCUACGGCUCCUGGGUGUUGUUGACAUUGCCUGGUGAAUAACUGAGAGAGAGCAAGAGAGAAAGAGAGAGAAGUGUCCUCGGAGGGAGACACUGUGAAUGAAUAAGGAGUAGAUCAAAGCUGAAGAUAAGCCCAGAGGUCACGACCCCUGCUGGGGCGGCUGUCAAGAGGUGUAAAGGAUACAGGAUAUGCUGUGUAACACAGGUAAUGUUCAGCCACACACACACUUCUAUUAACGACUCAUCUGUCUCUGGAAUAUGUGCGCACUGGAAGAUCCUGCCAUGAACACACACUCGCAUGUUUAUUUAUUAUCACGACACUCAGGGAAUGGCAGCCAUAGUGAGUGUUUAAUUCUGAUGGAUGGAAUGCACAAGGAGCGAAGCGCUUUAAAAAUGGAUGUGUAAACAAAGGAAAGGCAUCUCCUGCUUUACGGACAGGAGAGAGGUCAGUCGUCCUUCCUAAAGGAUGCUUUGAUUUUCCCUGAUAAUACACAACAAAUUCAGCUCAAUGAGGAGGGAUUCAGUUGCUGUAGUUAAUAUUAAAGACAAAUAAAUCUAAAGCUUAAUCAAAUAAACUGCAUUUAUAUGCU